rnacentral:tRNA from 1 species
AACCAGGUGGCUGAGACUCAAGCGGUAGAUUGUAAAUUUAUUUACGGAUUAAAUAUCCCCUGGUUA